rnacentral:rRNA from 1 species
GCUGGCGGUAUGCUUAACACAUGCAGGUCGAACGAGAAGGAAGAGCUUGCUCUUCCUGAAAGUGGCGAACGGGUGAGUAACGCGUGGGUAACCUACCCUUUGGAAAGGAAUAGCCUCGGGAAACUGGGAGUAAUGCCUUAUAAGAUACGUUUGUCGCAUGGCAUUUGUAUUAAACGCUCCGGCGCCAUAGGAUGGACCCGCGUCCCAUUAGCUAGUUGGUGAGAUAACAGCUCACCAAGGCCACGAUGGGUAACCGGUCUGAGAGGGCGAACGGUCACACUGGAACUGAGACACGGUCCAGACUCCUACGGGAGGCAGCAGUGGGGAAUAUUGCGCAAUGGGGGCAACCCUGACGCAGCAAUACCGCGUGAGUGAAGAAGGUUUUCGGAUCGUAAAGCUCUGUUAUUGGGGAAGAAAAAAAGACGGUACCCAAGAAGAAAGUUCCGGCUAACUACGUGCCAGCAGCCGCGGUAAUACGUAGGGAACAAGCGUUGUCCGGAUUUACUGGGCGUAAAGGGCACGCAGGCGGUUUUUUAAGUCAGAUGUGAAAGGCCACAGCUCAACUGUGGACAUGCAUUUGAAACUGAAAGACUUGAGUAUUGGAGAGGCAAGUGGAAUUCCUAGUGUAGCGGUGAAAUGCGUAGAUAUUAGGAGGAACACCGGUGGCGAAGGCGGCUUGCUGGACAAAUACUGACGCUGA